rfam:Triticum aestivum genome assembly, contig: Triticum_aestivum_CS42_TGACv1_scaffold_374365_5AL
GAAAAACUCCCUCCGUCCAAAAAAGCUUAUUCCUUAAAUGAAUGUAUUUAGCAUCAAGUUAGUGCUAGAUACAUCCAUUUGAGGGACAAGCUUGGGACAAGCUUUUUCGGACGGAGGGAGUAUACU